UACGUAGGGGGCAAGCGUUGUCCGGAAUCAUUGGGCGUAAAGAGCGUGUAGGCGGUUCAGUAAGUCUGCUGUGAAAGUCCAGGGCUCAACCCUGGGAUGCCGGUGGAUACUGCUGGGCUAGAGUACGGAAGAGGCGAGUGGAAUUCCCGGUGUAGCGGUGAAAAUGCGCAGAUAUCGGGAGGAACACCUAUUGCGAAGGCAGCUCGCUGGGACGUUACUGACGCUGGAGACGCG
rnacentral:rRNA from 1 species